GGGACCAGGCCUCGGAUCGUGAAAGAUGUGGGGCGAGGACCCCGCUCACCCACCCGUAGAGUCGGAGCCAGAUUUAUAUUCCUUUGUACUGAGAGAAGGUGUGCGACCUGGAACAAGAAACUCUAUGGAUGUGAACUUUGUGAACUGGUAUCCACGCCUCCUUUUAGGCUAAUGUUGCCUGUGGACGUUCCCGGAGGCAGGAACACCGUCCAAUGCUUCGCCACUGAGCACGAUCACAGUCUCACUGGGGACUAAGAAUCCCCUGAGGUUUACCGUGUGGCAGCUUGUACAGCGUGUUCAGGCAACAAGGUUUACCAUCUAUGUAAAAGCACUAAAGGGGUUCCCUGGUGGUUCAGUGGUAAAGAAUCUGCCUGCCAAUGCCGGAGACAUGG